AAGAAUUGGAGGCUCCAAGGAAUUGACGGAAAAUCCAAGGAAUUGAUGGCGGCUCCACGGAAGGUGCGAGCGUUAAUCGGAAUUACUGGGCGUAAAGCGUGCGCAGGCGGUUUGGUAAGACAGAUGUGAAAUCCCCGGGCUUAACCCGGGAACUGCAUUUGUGACUGCCAGACUAGAGUGUAGCAGAGGGGGGUAGAAUUCCACGUGUAGCAGUGAAAUGCGUAGAGAUGUGGAGGAAUACCGAUGGCGAAGGCAGCCCCCUGGGCUAACACUGACGCUCAUGCACGAAAGCGUGGGGAGCAAACAGGAUUAGAUACCCUGGUAGUCCACGCCCUAAACGAUGUCAACUAGGUGUUGGGGAAGGAGACUUCUUUAGUACCGCAGCUAACGCGUGAAGUUGACCGCCUGGGGAGUACGGUCGCAAGAUU
rnacentral:rRNA from 1 species